GAUGAACGCUGGCGGCGUGCUUAACACAUGCAAGUCGAACGGGGUACCCAUGACGGAGGCUUCGGCCAACUGAAUGGACUACCUAGUGGCGGACGGGUGAGUAACGCGUGAGGAACCUGCCUUGGAGUGGGGAAUAACAGCCAGAAAUGGCUGCUAAUACCGCAUAAUGCAGUUGGGUCGCAUGGCUCUGACUGCCAAAGAUUUAUCGCUCUAAGAUGGCCUCGCGUCUGAUUAGUUUGUUGGCGGGGUAACGGCCCACCAAGACGACGAUCAGUAGCCGGACUGAGAGGUUGGCCGGCCACAUUGGGACUGAGACACGGCCCAG
rnacentral:rRNA from 1 species